GACGAACGCUGGCGGCGUGCUUAACACAUGCAAGUCGAACGGAAAGGCCCUGCUCUUGCGGGGUGCUCGAGUGGCGAACGGGGGAGUAACACGCGAGUAACCUGUCCUUGACUUUGGGAUAACUCCAGGAAACUGGGGCUAAUAUCGGAUAGGAGCUCCUGCUGCAUGGUGGGGGUUGGAAAGAUUGGGCGGUUGGGGAUGGACUCGCGGCUUAUGAGCCUGUUGGUGGGGUAGGGGCUUACAAAGGCUUUGACGGGUAGCCGGCCUGGGAGGGUGACCGGCCACAAUGGGACUGAGAUACGGCCCAGAAUCCUACGGGACGCAGCAGUGGGGAAUAUUGCACAAUGGGCGGAAGCCUGAUGCGGCAACGCCGCGUGCGGGAUGACGGCCUUCGGGUUGUGAACCGCUUUCGCCUGUGCCGAAGCGUGAGUGACGGUAAUGGGUAAAGAAGCACCGGCUAACUACGUG
rnacentral:rRNA from 1 species